GUGACUGGUCUAUGGGUCUACCUAUAGAGUUUAGAGAGGGAGACUUUUCUACUGAACAAAGUCCAAUCAAGCAGGAGAGACCAACCUCCCCUGUUCCCAGCUGUGUGUCCAUGAAGAGUGACCGGUCUAUGGGUCAACCUAUAAACUUUAGAGAAGGAGACUUUUCUACUGAACAAAGAAACCAACAGGAGAGAUCAGAGUCAGAUAUUCUCAGUGGUCAGUCUUCCCAGAGUCAUC